GGCUCGUUGGUCUAGGGGUAUGAUUCUCGCUUCGGCUGUGAGAGGUCCCGGGUUCAAAUCCCGGACGAGCCC
rnacentral:tRNA from 1 species